rnacentral:rRNA from 1 species
GCUGGCGGCGUGCCUAAUACAUGCAAGUCGAACGCACUCUCGUUUAGAUUGAAGGAGUUUGCUCCUGAUUGAUAAACAUUUGAGUGAGUGGCGGACGGUGAGUAACACGUGGUAACCUGCCUAAAGUGGGGAUAACAUUUGGAAACAGAUGCUAAUACCGCAUAAAACCUAUCACCGCAUGGUGUAGGGUUGAAAGAUGGUUUCGGCUAUCACUUUAGGAUGGACCCCGCGGUGCAUUAGUUAGUUGGUGAGGUAAAGGCUCACCAAGACCGUGAUGCAUAGCCGACCUGAGAGGUAAUCGGCCACACUGGGACUGAGACACGGCCCAGACUCCUACGGGAGGCAGCAGUAGGGAAUCUUCCACAAUGGACGAAAGUCUGAUGGAGCAACGCCGCGUGAGUGAAGGAGGUUUUCGGAUCGUAAAACUCUGUUGUUGGAGAAGAAUGUAUCUGAUAGUAACUGAUCAGGUAGUGACGGUAUCCAACCAGAAAGCCACGGCUAACUACGUG